CGGACGGGUGAGUAACGCGUGGAAAACCUGCCGUAUACUGGGGGAUAACACUUAGAAAUAGGUGCUAAUACCGCAUAAGCGCACAGCUUCGCAUGAAGCGGUGUGAAAAACUCUGGUGGUAUACGAUGGUUCCGCGUCUGAUUAGCUAGUUGGUGGGGUAAUGGCCUACCAAGGCAACGAUCAGUAGCCGGCCUGAGAGGGUGAACGGCCACAUCGGGACUGAGACACGGCCCAAACUCCUACGGGAGGCAGCAG
rnacentral:rRNA from 1 species